GAUGUGUUAUGCAGGGGGGAGGCACGUGAGUAAGAGGGAGGAACAGUGCAGCAUGGAGGUACAACAGACUGCUGCAGCAGCGCAGAAAGAUGAACGCGAUGGUUUAGGGAUAUUAAAUCGGGUCGGGCGUGGAGAGCAAAGCGAAGGGAGUCACGGCGCUUUAUCCUCCACGACGCCCGUGUCACUCCCAACCGCACCCCCACAUGAACGCAACGGCUCCAGCGCGGCAUGUGGUCGUCCCAGGUGUCCAGAUUCCUCGGGCACCGCGGUCCCCACCCCCUCCGACCCCCGUACUCUCCCCCCCUACAACUCGCUGAUGGAACGAACGUGGAGGGAUGGGCGCAGAAAGCAAAGUUUGGAAAGGCUAAAUUGGAUCACUUGGACAUAGCCUUUUCCAUCCAUCGCCAUCCAUACGGGAGUAAACGUACAUACAUACAUAUAUACAUAAUAAUGUAGAGUUGCUAACAUAAGCAGUUUUGUUUAUACUUGAAACCAGGUUCCAGGCGUGGAGCAAUGAGCGUCAAGGAGACGAAGCUGGGCGGACUCUCCGGAAACAUUUAAAUGACAGAAUAAUUAAAUGCGAAUGCUUCACGAUCCCUAUCAAACGAAAGUUUGACCACAUCCUCUCUCUCUCUCCCUCUCCUUACAUUAUUUGAUUAAAUGCUACUGCUCAUUUUUUUUGCUUCACCGUCGUGUAGGCACCCGGCCGUCACCGAUUUCGCAAAGGGCUUUCAGUGCUAGUCAUGGGCCUGGUGAUGAGGGCAAAAUGCAAGGCUGCAUAUGGGAUGCAUGCAUGCUCUCACCAUAUCCCGGACAGCUGCACCCUAUCAGCUGAGCCGCAUGUGACAUGUGAGAUAAGGGAGCCGUAAGAUAUUGGAACCACCCACAUCUACUUGGACACGGUGAUCAAACGGAGGAGCUGUCAGUGCAAGCUCACACCGCCAACCUUUUCCGAUCUAGUUUCUUGCUUUUUCUUUUUCAUGGUUUGCAUCCGUAUUUAUCACCACCUCCGAUGACUAAGAAAAUAUUGGAUUCAUAGGCAUUGACAUUGGAGGUACUUGCUGUCCUGGGACGGCAGAAUACGUUG